rnacentral:rRNA from 1 species
AAGAUUAAGCCAUGCAUGUCUCAGUACAAGCCAAAUUAAGGUGAAACCGCGAAAGGCUCAUUAAAUCAGUUAUGGUUCCUUAGAUCGUACCCACAUUUACUUGGAUAACUGUGGUAAUUCUAGAGCUAAUACAUGCAAACAGAGCUUCGACCGGAAACGGAAGAAGCGCUUUUAUUAGAUCAAAACCAAUCGGUGGCGGUUUAAUCGCCGUCAUCGUACCAUUUGGUGACUCUGAAUAACUUUAAGCUGAUCGCACGGUCACGCACCGGCGACGCAUCUUUCAAAUGUCUGCCUUAUCAACUGUCGAUGGUAGGUUCUGCGCCUACCAUGGUUGUAACGGGUAACGGGGAAUCAGGGUUCGAUUCCGGAGAGGGAGCCUGAGAAACGGCUACCACAUCCAAGGAAGGCAGCAGGCGCGCAAAUUACCCACUCCCGGCACGGGGAGGUAGUGACGAAAAAUAACGAUACGGGACUCAUCCGAGGCCCCGUAAUCGGAAUGAGUACACUUUAAAUCCUUUAACGAGGAUCAAUUGGAGGGCAAGUCUGGUGCCAGCAGCCGCGGUAAUUCCAGCUCCAAUAGCGUAUAUUAAAGUUGUUGCGGUUAAAAAGCUCGUAGUCGAAUCUGUGUUUCGCGCCGCUGGUUCAUCGUUCGCGGUGUUAACUGGCGUGUCGCGAAACGUCCUGCCGGUGGACUUAGCUUUUGCGUGCCAAAAGUGCGUUGAAAGCGGUCCAAAUUACAAUCCUGCCGCGGUGCUCUUCACUGAGUGUCUUGGUGGGCCGGCACAUUUACUUUGAACAAAUUAGAGUGCUUAAAGCAGGCUAAAAUUUCGCCUGAAUACUGUGUGCAUGGAAUAAUGGAAUAGGACCUCGGUUCUAUUUUGUUGGUUUUCGGAACCCCGAGGUAAUGAUUAAUAGGAACGGAUGGGGGCAUUCGUAUUGCGACGUUAGAGGUGAAAUUCUUGGAUCGUCGCAAGA